rnacentral:rRNA from 1 species
AUUGAACGCUGGCGGAGUGCUCUACACAUGCAAGUCGAACGGUAGAGGGGGCAACCCCUCGAGAGUGGCGAACGGGUGAGUAAUAUAUCGGAACGUGCCCAGUCGUGGGGGAUAACGUAGCGAAAGUUACGCUAAUACCGCAUACGAUCUAAGGAUGAAAGCGGGGGAUCGCAAGACCUCGCGCAAUUGGAGCGGCCGAUAUCAGAUUAGGUAGUUGGUGGGGUAAAGGCUCACCAAGCCAACGAUCUGUAGCUGGUCUGAGAGGACGACCAGCCACACUGGAACUGAGACACGGUCCAGACUCCUACGGGAGGCAGCAGUGGGGAAUUUUGGACAAUGGACGCAAGUCUGAUCCAGCCAUUCCGCGUGCAGGAUGAAGGCCCUCGGGUUGUAAACUGCUUUUGUACGGAACGAAAAGGUCUCUCUUAAUACGGGGGGCUCAUGACGGUACCGUAAGAAUAAGCACCGGCUAACUACGUGCCAGCCGCCGCCGUAA